CUGAAUUGACCAGGUGAGAAAUACAGGUGACAACAAAAAGAAAUGCAAAUUCUUUCAUUUUUCCCAGGCUCAGAGCGAUUUAUAACGAGAUAUCGUUAAACACAUAUUUUUAUCAACUUGUAAAAAAUAAAGUUGUAAACAUAAGGAAAUUCGGGUAGAUCCGUGAGAAUAGGAAAUAAUAUAAUUUUACUUCUCCCUACACUAAAACUCAGAAAUAUAUAAUCCUAAAUGUAAGUUAUUGUUCCUAAUUAAGUCCGAAUGAGUUGAUAUAUCGUCAAAAGUCAAUCCUGUCACUUUAAAUCCAUUUUUGGCAAUACACCCGUACAACUUUCCCAACUUCUCGAAGUUCACGACCUGCGCAAAGAUACUCACAAG
rnacentral:lncRNA from 1 species